rnacentral:rRNA from 1 species
AUGCCGUGGCUACAAAAGUGUCCUCCAUAUGGAUGGGCAUUUUUUACUGUUAGGGAGAACAAGAAAGAGGAGAGGUACAAGCUCAUAUUGGAUGUGCAAAAGGAGAGGAUGGAUCGGGACCAGGAGAGGGCGAACAAAAUGCUGCAAAUUGAGAGGGAGAAUAUCGAGUUAGAGAAGAAAGAAGCGACGAUCAAAUGGGAGCUCAAGAAGACCAAUACAUUUGGAGAGAUUGAGCUUGAGAAGGAGGGAUUACAAAGACGCGGAGGAUGCCAAGAUAAUGUCGACAGACGAAAGCCUCUUGAACGAGCAUGCAAAGAAUUGUCUUGUGAGGAUAAAGAAGAAGAUCAACGAACAUAG